rnacentral:rRNA from 1 species
CCUACGGGGGGCAGCAGUGGGGAAUAUUGGGCAAUGGGCGCAAGCCUGACCCAGCAACGCCGCGUGAAGGAAGAAGGCCCUCGGGUUGUAAACUUCUUUUAUCAGGGACGAAACAAGUGACGGUACCUGAUGAAUAAGCCACGGCUAACUACGUGCCAGCAGCCGCGGUAAUACGUAGGUGGCAAGCGUUAUCCGGAUUUACUGGGUGUAAAGGGCGUGUAGGCGGGAGUGCAAGUCAGAUGUGAAAUCCACGGGCUCAACCUGUGGCCUGCAUUUGAAACUGUAGUUCUUGAGUGCUGGAGAGGCAGGCGGAAUUCCGAGUGUAGCGGUGAAAUGUGUAGAUAUUAGGAGGAACACCAGUGGCGAAGGCGGUCUGCUGGACAUCAACUGACGCUGAGGCGCGAAAGCGUGGGGAGCAAACAGGAUUAGAUACCCGAGUAGUC